rnacentral:lncRNA from 1 species
CUUCUUCCUCACAAUCAAGACCGGAGCACCCCAAGGUGAGGUACUCUGUCGGAUGAAACCCUUUUCUACCAGCUCUUGCAACUGCUCUUUCAACUCCUUUAACUCGGCUGGGGCCAUCCUGUAGGGAGGGAUAGAGAUCGGUCUAGUUCCAGGCACCAACUCUAUCUCGAACUCUAUCUCCCUAGCAGAUGGUAAACCUGGAAGCUCAUCCGGAAAAACAUCCUGAAACUCUCUGACAACUGGCACUGAGGCCGGCUCCCUGACCUGACUGUCUAGCUCUCUCACAUGAGCUAAGUACCCCUGACAUCCCUUCCUAAGCAACCUACGAGCCUGAAGAGCUGAUAUCAGACCUCUAGGCGUGCCCCUCUUGUCUCCUCUGAAGACGACCUCUGACCCGUUCUGAUCUCUGAACCUGAC